rnacentral:pre_miRNA from 1 species
AAUGGACUUGCUGGGUUAUAAGGUACUAUAUGCUUGACAUUAGUAGAAAUUACCAAAGAAUUUUGCAAAAUGGUAAUAGCAUUUUAUACUCCCUUUAGCAUG